AGAGUUUGAUCCUGGCUCAGAACGAACGCUGGCGGCGUGGAUAAGACAUGCAAGUCGAGCGGGGCAAACUUUGUAGCAAUACAGGGUUUGUUCAGCGGCGAACGGGUGCGUAACACGUGAGUAAUCUGCCGGGAAGUGGGGGAUAGCUCGCCGAAAGGCGAAUUAAUACCGCAUGUGACUGAGGGGGGCCUCCUCCGAAUGUCAAAGCAGCAAUGCGCUUCCUGAUGAACUCGCGGCCUAUCAGCUUGUUGGUGAGGUAAUGGCUCACCAAGGCUCUGACGGGUAGCUGGUCUGAGAGGACGACCAGCCACACUGGGACUGAGACACGGCCCAGACACCUACGGGUGGCAGCAGUCGAGAAUUUUUCACAAUGGGGGAAACCCUGAUGGAGCGACGCCGCGUGGAGGAUGAAGGUUUUCGGAUUGUAAACUCCUGUCAUGAGAGAACAAAGCCAGCAAUGGCCUGAUAGUAUCUCAAGAGGAAGGGACGGCUAACUCUGUGCCAGCCGCCGCGGUAAUAC
rnacentral:rRNA from 1 species